rnacentral:rRNA from 1 species
UACGAAGGGGGCUAGCGUUGCUCGGAAUCACUGGGCGUAAAGGGUGCGUAGGCGGGUCUUUAAGUCAGGGGUGAAAUCCUGGAGCUCAACUCCAGAACUGCCUUUGAUACUGAGGAUCUUGAGUCCGGGAGAGGUGAGUGGAACUGCGAGUGUAGAGGUGAAAUUCGUAGAUAUUCGCAAGAACACCAGUGGCGAAGGCGGCUCACUGGCCCGAUACUGACGCUGAGGCACGAAAGCGUGGGGAGCAAACAG